rnacentral:misc_RNA from 1 species
GAUGAAGAACGCAGCGAAAUGCGAUACGUAGUGUGAAUUGCAGAAUUCAGUGAAUCAUCGAAUCUUUGAACGCACAUUGCACCUCUCGGUAUUCCGGGAGGUAUGCCUGUUCGAGCGUCAUUUGUACCCUCAAGCUCCGCUUGGUGUUGGGUGUUUGUUCCGCCUCUGUGUGUGAACUCGCCUCAAAAUAAUUGGCAGCCGGCGUACUUGUUUCGGAGCGCAGCACAUUUUGCGAUCCAGAUCAACGUACAGCGGCAUCCAAGAAGCCUUAUUUAACGCUCUUGACCUCGGAUCAGGUAGGGAUACCCGCUGAACUUAAGCAUAUCAAUAAGCGGAGGA